GGUUUACCGCUAAGGGAUGGGGAUGCGUCUGAUUAGGUAGUCGGCGGGGUAACGGCCCACCGAGCCAUCGAUCGGUAGGGUUCUGAGAGGAAGGUCCCCCACACUGGUACUGAGACACGGACCAGACUCCUACGGGAGGCAGCAGUGAGGAAUAUUGGUCAAUGGGCGUAAGCCUGAACCAGCCAAGUAGCGUGCAGGAUGACGGCCCUACGGGUUGUAAACUGCUUUUAUGCGGGAUAAAGUGCGGCACGUGUGCCGUUUUGUAGGUACCGCAUGAAUAAGGACCGGCUAAUUCCGUGCC
rnacentral:rRNA from 1 species